rnacentral:rRNA from 1 species
AGAGUUUGAUCCUGGCUCAGAUUGAACGCUGGCGGCAGGCCUAACACAUGCAAGUCGAGCGAUAACGGUCUUCGGACUUAUUAAAGCGGCGGACGGGUGAGUAACGCGUGGGAAUCUACCCAGUAGUGGGGGACAACAGUUGGAAACGACUGCUAAUACCGCAUAAUGUCUACGGACCAAAGGAGGGGAUUCUUCGGAACCUUUCGCCUUUUGAUUAGCCCAAGUGAGAUUAGCUAGUAGGUAAGGUAAUGGCUUACCUAGGCGACGAUCUCUAGCUGGUUUGAGAGGAUGAUCAGCCACACUGGGACUGAGACACGGCCCAGACUCCUACGGGAGGCAGCAGUGGGGAAUAUUGCACAAUGGGCGAAAGCCUGAUGCAGCCAUGCCGCGUGUGUGAAGAGGCUUCGGGUGUAAAGCACUUUCAGUGGAGGAAGGGGGUAGUAUAGCUGCUCACUGUGACGU